UACGUAGGGCGCAAGCGUUGUCCGGAUUCACUGGGGGUAAAGGGUGCGCAGGCGGGAAAGUAAGUUAGAGGUGAAAUCUCACAGCUCAACUGUGAAACUGCCUUUGAUACUGCUUUUCUUGAGUUAGGGAGAGGUUGAUGGAAUUCCAGGUGUAGCGGUGAAAUGCGUAGAUAUCUGGAGGAACACCGGUGGCGAAGGCGGCAUCCUGGACCGACACUGACGCUGAGGAGCGAAAGCCAGGGGAGCAAACGGG
rnacentral:rRNA from 1 species